rnacentral:rRNA from 1 species
GAUGAACGCUGGCGGCGUGCCUAAUACAUGCAAGUCGAGCGAACGGACGAGAAGCUUGCUUCUCUGAUGUUAGCGGCGGACGGGUGAGUAACACGUGGAUAACCUACCUAUAAGACUGGGAUAACUUCGGGAAACCGGAGCUAAUACCGGAUAAUAUUUUGAACCGCAUGGUUCAAAAGUGAAAGACGGUCUUGCUGUCACUUAUAGAUGGAUCCGCGCUGCAUUAGCUAGUUGGUAAGGUAACGGCUUACCAAGGCAACGAUGCAUAGCCGACCUGAGAGGGUGAUCGGCCACACUGGAACUGAGACACGGUCCAGACUCCUACGGGAGGCAGCAGUAGGGAAUCUUCCGCAAUGGGCGAAAGCCUGACGGAGCAACGCCGCGUGAGUGAUGAAGGUCUUCGGAUCGUAAAACUCUGUUAUUAGGGAAGAACAUAUGUGUAAGUAACUGUGCACAUCUUGACGGUACCUAAUCAGAAAGCCACGGCUAACUACGUGCCAGCAGCCGCGGUAAUACGUAGGUGGCAAGCGUUAUCCGGAAUUAUUGGGCGUAAAGCGCGCGUAGGCGGUUUUUUAAGUCUGAUGUGAAAGCCCACGGCUCAACCGUGGAGGGUCAUUGGAAACUGGAAAACUUGAGUGCAGAAGAGGAAAGUGGAAUUCCAUGUGUAGCGGUGAAAUGCGCAGAGAUAUGGAGGAACACCAGUGGCGAAGGCGACUUUCUGGUCUGUAACUGACGCUGAUGUGCGAAAGCGUGGGGAUCAAACAGGAUUAGAUACCCUGGUAGUCCACGCCGUAAACGAUGAGUGCUAAGUGUUAGGGGGUUUCCGCCCCUUAGUGCUGCAGCUAACGCAUUAAGCACUCCGCCUGGGGAGUACGACCGCAAGGUUGAAACUCAAAGGAAUUGACGGGGACCCGCACAAGCGGUGGAGCAUGUGGUUUAAUUCGAAGCAACGCGAAGAACCUUACCAAAUCUUGACAUCCUUUGACAACUCUAGAGAUAGAGCCUUCCCCUUCGGGGGACAAAGUGACAGGUGGUGCAUGGUUGUCGUCAGCUCGUGUCGUGAGAUGUUGGGUUAAGUCCCGCAACGAGCGCAACCCUUAAGCUUAGUUGCCAUCAUUAAGUUGGGCACUCUAAGUUGACUGCCGGUGACAAACCGGAGGAAGGUGGGGAUGACGUCAAAUCAUCAUGCCCCUUAUGAUUUGGGCUACACACGUGCUACAAUGGACAAUACAAAGGGCAGCGAAACCGCGAGGUCAAGCAAAUCCCAUAAAGUUGUUCUCAGUUCGGAUUGUAGUCUGCAGCUCGACUACAUGAAGCUGGAAUCGCUAGUAAUCGUAGAUCAGCAUGCUACGGUGAAUACGUUCCCGGGUCUUGUACACACCGCCCGUCACACCACGAGAGUUUGUAACACCCGAAGCCGGUGGAGUAACCUUUUAGGAGCUAGCCGUCGAAGGUGGGACAAAUAA